UGCCAGACUCCUACGGGAGGCAGCAGUGGGGGAUAUUGCACAAUGGGGGGAACCCUGAUGCAGCGACGCCGCGUGGGUGAAGAAGUAUUUCGGUAUGUAAAGCCCUAUCGGCAGGGAAGAAUUUAGACGGUACCUGACUAAGAAGCCCCGGCUAACUACGUGCCAGCAGCCGCGGUAAUACGUAGGGGGCAAGCGUUAUCCGGAUUUACUGGGUGUAAAGGGGGCGCAGACGGCGAUGCAAGCCAGGAGUGAAAGCCCGGGGCCCAACCCCGGGACUGCUUUGGAAACUUUUUUGCUGGAGUACCGGAGAGGUAAGCGGAAUUCCUAGUGUAGCGGUGAAAUGCGUAGAUAUUAGGAGGAACACCAGUGGCGAAGGCGGCUUACUGGACGGUAACUGACGUUGAGGCUCGAAAGCGUGGGGAGCAAACAGGAUUAGAUACCCUCGUA
rnacentral:rRNA from 1 species